AGCAGUAGCCGCGGGAAUACGUAGGGUGCGAGCGUUAAUCGGAAUUACUGGGCGUAAAGCGUGCGCAGGCGGUUUUGUAAGACAGGCGUGAAAUCCCCGGGCUCAACCUGGGAAUGGCGCUUGUGACUGCAAAGCUAGAGUGCGGCAGAGGGGGAUGGAAUUCCGCGUGUAGCAGUGAAAUGCGUAGAUAUGCGGAGGAACACCGAUGGCGAAGGCAAUCCCCUGGGCCUGCACUGACGCUCAUGCACGAAAGCGUGGGGAGCAAACAGGAUUAGAUACCCGAGUAGUCCCUGUCUCUUAUAC
rnacentral:rRNA from 1 species